rnacentral:lncRNA from 1 species
UUUAGUGGGCUAGGGUUUAGGCUUCUAGAAUGCCUUGCAAGGCAAGGAAAUCAGAAAUUUUAAAGGCCUAGGUGCGGAAAAUUAGUGGGCUAGGGUUAGGGUUUAUAGAUAGGGCUUCUAGAAAGCCCAAAACCAAGAAUAGAAACUCUCGAAAAUGGAAACCUCCAAGAAUAGAAACUUCCAACUUUAGAAACUUUGGUUUCUAAUUCUGAAUUCUUUGUUCUUCAUUUCUUAAGCUCCUUUGCCCUUCAAACUCGUCCAUUCAUUGUGCUCCAAGCAUGUACUUUCCAAUCUAAGCUCCAUUUUGCUCCAAAAGGCUCCAAUUUGCAUCCUUUUAUGUCAUAUGCCCUUUAAGCCUGAAAACACAUGAAAGUAGCUCAAAAGACUACUUUAACGACGAAAACAUAACGAAAUUGCAUAAGAACUAGCUAACUAAGGCGCAUAAAUAUGCUCCUAUCAAAUUCCCCCACACUUAGCUUUUGCUAGUCCUCGAGCAAAACAAAGAAACAAAAGAAAAACAAAAUGAAACAAAACAAACAAAAAUAACCUAAACCUUCCAACGUUUGCCUCAGGGAUUUCCAAUGCACAUGACAUAUUAAAAAUUAUCAUUCCCACAGAUUUUAGCCAUCUUUACACUUAAGCACAUACUUAAUUAUAGUUACCACGUAUUAGUUCGCAUUUAACCAAGUAAAACAUGAUUUUGAAUGUAGUAACAUGCCUUAGAGAAUUUGCUCAAAUCCUCACUAGAUAUGCACUCAAUUUUCACACAGAUUUUCUGACUACACACCCUAUACUAGUUAUAUGUGAGAAUAUUGAUGUAAAUAUGAAAACGAAUGCUCACAUAUGUUAUAACAAGGAAAGCUUUUUCUGA